CAAGGCUUGACAUCCCGUGAACCUGGGCGAAAGUCCGGGGUGCUUUAUUGAGCACGGUGACAGGUGAUGCAUGGCCGUCGUCAGCUCGUGUCGUGAGAUGUUUGGUUAAGUCCAUCAACGAGCGCAACCCUUGUGAAUAGUUGUAUUUUUCUAUUCAGACUGCCCCGGCAACGGGGAGGAAGGAGGGGAUGAUGUCAGGUCAGUAUUUCCCUUACGUCUUGGGCUAGAAACGUCAUACAAUGGCCAGUACAAUGCGCAGCUAAACCGCGAGGUGGAGCAAAUCGCAUCAAAACUGGUCCCAGUUCGGAUAGGAGGCUGAAACUCGCCUCCUUGAAGUCGGAGUCGCUAGUAAUCGCAGAUCAGCAACGCUGCGGUGAAUA
rnacentral:rRNA from 1 species